CUACAAUGCCGGGUCAUCGCCGCUAUUCAAUAAUUGCGGAGGAAAGUCCGGACAGCAUAGAGCAGCACACUACCUAACGGGUAGGCAUUGGUCGUAAGGACCGAUGACAGAUAGUGCCACAGAAAAUUACCGCCUGUACCAACCGCUUUGGCGUAAGUCAAACCGGCUUGAAAGGGUAAGGGUGAAAAUGUAGUGUAAGAGACUACGGCUUACCAUGGCGACAUGGUUUGCGGGUAAACCUUGUGUGCUGAAAUGCCAAAUAAGCAUGCGCUUGAGGGUGGCUCGCCCGAUGCAUGUGGGUUGGCAGCGUGAGGCAGUGCGUGAGUACUGUCCCAGAUAAAUGGUGAUCGUUUUUGCUUAGGCAGAAAUACAGAAUCCGGCUUACAGGCAUUGUAGUUUU
rnacentral:RNase_P_RNA from 1 species